rnacentral:rRNA from 1 species
GUUGUUGCGGUUAAAAGCUCGUAGUUGGAUUUUGGGCGCAGGCGGCCGGUCCGUCGCAAGGCGUGUACUGGCCGUCCUGGCCUCACCUCCGGUUCUCCGCCGGUGCCCUUGACUGAGUGUCGGCGGCGGCCGGAACGUUUACUUUGAAAAAAUUAGAGUGUUCAAAGCAGGCGAUUCGCCUGAAUAAUGGUGCAUGGAAUAAUGGAAUAGGACCUCGGUUCUAUUUUGUUGGUUUUCGGAGCGCGAGGUAAUGAUUAAGAGGGACAGACGGGGGCAUUCGUACUGUGCCGUUAGAGGUGAAAUUCUUGGAUCGGCGCAAGACGAACGACUGCGAAAGCAUUUGCCAAGAAUGUUUUCUUUAAUCAAGAGCGAAAGUCAGAGGUUCGAAGACGAUCAGAUACCGUCCUAGUUCUGACUAUAAACGAUGCCAACUAGCGAUCGGGGGGCGUUAGUUUUACGACCUCUCCGGCAGCUUGCGGGAAACCAAAGUCUUUGGGUUCCGGGGGAAGUAUGGUUGCAAAGCUGAAACUUAAAGGAAUUGACGGAAGGGCACCACCAGGAGUGGAGCCUGCGGCUUAAUUUGACUCAACACGGGAAAUCUCACCCGGCCCGGACACAGUGAGGAUUGACAGAUUGAGAGCUCUUUCUUGAUUCUGUGGGUGGUGGUGCAUGGCCGUUCUUAGUUGGUGGAGCGAUUUGUCUGGUUAAUUCCGAUAACGAACGAGACUCUGGCUUGCUAACUAGUUACGCGACCCAAUCGGUCGGCGUCUAACUUCUUAGAGGGACUAGUGGCGUUUAGCCACACGAGAUUGAGCAAUAACAGGUCUGUGAUGCCCUUAGAUGUUCGGGGCCGCACGCGCGCUACACUGACCGGAUCAGCAUGUGCUCGCCUUGGCCGACAGGUCUGGGUAACCCGCUGAACCCCGGUCGUGCUAGGGAUAGGGAAUUGCAAUUAUUCCCCUGAACGAGGAAU